rnacentral:lncRNA from 1 species
UGUAGGGGUAUCUCUGGGAAGCCCAGGAAGAAUAAGAGCUGUGGCAAGAAAAGUAUCAGAUUGGAUUGUAAAGCUUCAGAGGUUGAAGGCUGUGGUUGAAGAUCUAAAUAGUGACUCUUCGGAUCUCAUCUCAGAGUGUCUUGAAGGCAGAUUCAAACCACAUAAAGAAAAACGCCGAUAA